rnacentral:tRNA from 1 species
GUGUCGUUAGCCAAGUGGCCGAGGCAGGGGAUUGUAAAUCCCUAGGGGAAACCCCACGGUGGUUCGAAUCCAUCACGGCAUACCA